rnacentral:rRNA from 1 species
CUACGGGUUGCUGCAGUGGGGAAUAUUGGACAAUGGGGGAAACCCUGAUCCAGCAAUGCCGCGUGUGUGAAGAAGGCCUGCGGGUUGUAAAGCACUUUCGGUUGGGAGGACUGCUUCUAGCACUAAUAUUGUUGGAAGUUGACGUUACCUUCAGAAGAAGCACCGGCUAACUCCGUGCCAGCAGCCGCGGUAAUAUGGAGGGUGCAAGCGUUAAUCGGAAUUACUGGGCGUAAAGCGCGCGUAGGCGGCUAGAUCAGUCGGGUGUGAAAGCCCCGGGCUUAACCUGGGAACUGCAUCCGAUACUGUCUAGCUUGAGUACAGGAGAGGAGAGUGGAAUUCCACAUGUAGCGGUGAAAUGCGUAGAUAUGUGGAGGAACACCAAUGGCGUAGGCAGCUCUCUGGCCUGAUACUGACGCUGAGGUGCGAAAGCGUGGGGAGCAAACAGGAUUAGAUACCCCUGUAGUC